AAUGGGAAAACAUCACCUGAUCUUCACCUGUCCAGUUUCAGUGAGCCUGUGCCCACUGUAGCCUCAGAUUCCUGUGGAACCUGAUGUGGUCUUCUGCUGAUAUAGACCGUCUUCCUCAAGCACUUGCGACAGGAACUCAAUGAAUAAGCUAAUGCAGGGAAAACCUAAUAGCAUUUGGCUUCCGGCUUCCUGACAACAAACUCACCUGCUAAUGCAGCAGAAUGUUGCUAGUGAUCCCAGUGCCAUUUCACCUAUUGGCCAGUAGAAGGCAGCAAUGUUUCAUCGUGGUCCUUGUGCUAGAUCACCAUGGAGACUCUGGUGUGACAAGCAAACAUGAGAGUGCGGUGAGAAACACACAGUCACAGUUGGACACAUUUCUGUGUGAUCUGAAUUAAAUCAUAUCCAUAUAAAUGGCAGGUAACCACUUGUGGAUUGGGUUUUAUGGAUCACCCAAAGUGGUUAAGCCUUCAGCAUCUUUAGAUACUGCGUCUAUUUUGCCUCCAAAAUCAGACACCAGUAACCCUGACACACUUUACCAGAACAUUCAGGCCUUUAGAACCCUAAUGGAAUUAAAUCUAAAUUUAAAUAUAAACUUGUAGACAAAUAGGUGAGUGGAGGAAAGAGAUAUGAGAAUUUUGUGUAGAUAAUUUUGUGCACAAAAAAUUCUCAAGCCAAAAGAUUUGCAAGAAAAUGUUACGUAUCAAAUAAUAAUAUUGCACACAGAUAAUAAUUAUGAAAUAAAUGUCUAAGUCACCAAUAACAGCUUGCUAGUCUUUCCCUGCUUUUAAUUAUUUUUUAAGCUGGUGAUUUUUGCUGACGUUUUUCCUCUUUCUCGAAUUUUUCCUUUGCACAUUUUUACAGUGUGUAGUCAAGUGGAAUUUUCCUCCUCUGAACUAUAAUACAUUGAAAGUUCAGUCCCAAGUGUCUUAUCUAUCACAUGGAAUAUCACCAGACCCUAUUAACAAAUAGAAUAUUUGGCACAGCAAGAUUCCCUCCCACAACAAACAGUGUCUGCAAGGUCUCUUUGGGUUUUCUGCCACUGAACAUUGAUAGGGAUCGCUAUCAAUGCUCUAUAUCUGCAGCAUUUUUUUUCCAUUUUUUUUUUUGCACAGCCAAAGAGAUAGCAUAUAAAGAAGAUAGAAGAGUCAGGAAGAAUACACUUAAAAAUCUAUGCUGCCAUGCAGUAAGAGUGGAAGGUCGUUCCAGAUUUUAAGGUCUCUUUUCACACUAUUGAUCAUGGAUGCAGUUCAGUGUUCAGAAUUUGUUGAGAUUAAUUGGUAUUUUAAUCCAUCUUAGACCAUUUAAAAUGCAAAUUUUGUUAGUGUGACAAUGUAAACUUUGCCUGAUAGCAUGGAUUUAGAUUUAUCAAAGAGGAUUUUGUAGGUUAAAUUGAGCCAGACUUUGGCACUAAAAGGCACAUUUCAUUAAAAGGCACAACAGAUUAUCAUCUGUGUACAGUCCUCACAAGUAAAAGGCACAUACUGUCUAACAAGCUCACACUGCAAAAAAUGACAUCUUAGCAUAUUCAAACCCUAUUGAAUAUAAUCAUAUUUAUCUAAUAUUUCCUAUUCAAUAAAUGAUUACAAUAAACCAAAUAUAAGAUUAUUAAACCUAUUUCUAGUUUUUUUUUUUUUUUUUUUUUACUAAUUUCAAGCUAAUUUCAAACCAGUCUUAUUCUAUUGGUAGAUAAGGUUAAUAAUACCAAUUAUCUAAUAAUUCUGAUUCUUUCAAGAAAUAAAUGCUUAAAUUAGCAACAUUCACUCUGUUUAAUCAUCUUGUAUGACUGCCAAUGAUAGGCUGGCUGAAUCUAGGCAUGUCAAAUGUCCUGGACUCAUGGAGAACAUUUUAUCCAUUAAGACUCUGUAUAAGAUAGGAAGUUGCACUUUGUUUAUGAAAUACCUUCUUACAUCUUAAAAAGGAAUUCUGAGGAGUAUAAGCCUUGAUAGGACUCCUUCAUUAUUUUGAAUAAAUGUUGUUUUUUUUCCACAGUAAUGUCCCCAUUAACCCCUUAUUAGCUCCCACUUACC